CAGCCGCCACGGUAAUACGGAGGGUGCAAGCGUUAAUCGGAAUUACUGGGCGUAAAGCGCACGCAGGCGGUCUGUCAAGUCAGAUGUGAAAUCCCCGGGCUUAACCUGGGAACUGCAUUUGAAACUGGCAGGCUAGAGUCUUGUAGAGGGGGGUAGAAUUCCAGGUGUAGCGGUGAAAUGCGUAGAGAUCUGGAGGAAUACCGGUGGCGAAGGCGGCCCCCUGGACAAAGACUGACGCUCAGGUGCGAAAGCGUGGGGAGCAAACAGGAUUAGAUACCCGCGUAGUCCCUGUCUCUUAUAC
rnacentral:rRNA from 1 species